GGGCCUGUAGCUCAGCCGGUUAGAGCGUUCCUCUGAUAAGGGAGAGGCCGUUGGUUCGAGUCCAACCAGGCCCA
rnacentral:tRNA from 2 species